rnacentral:lncRNA from 1 species
AUUGGUUUUCGGAUAUCUCUUAAGAACCAUUCAAGUAUAUAUGCCAAAUCUAAUAGAUUAUGAAACUUUGAUUUUUGGGUCGAUUCCGAGUCAGAUUUUUUGGAUACGAAUAUUUUUCUUGACUAAUUAUGUUAGGUAACUACUAAGAAAAUAUAAUAUGUUGCAAAUUUUAAAAAUAAAGUUUAAAAAUAAUUUUUGAAAUACAUAUGACAUAUAAUUAUGCAAUUUGACAUAUUUAAUAUAGUUACCAAAAAUUAUAUUAAAUUAAAUUAAUACUAAAAACAAAUAUGAUUACAAAAAUAACACAAAUACAAAAAUUAAAUUUCUCAAAAAAAAAAUAAACAAAAAAUAAAAGGGCGGGUCAGAAUCCAAAUUGUCACUAUUUAUUUAAAUCCAAACGCAGCUUUUGCGGUUGGUAGCGGUUGUCGGUGGUUUGCAACAAUCACUCAAAUCGCUAUAAACCGCUUCAAACCGCUUCAAACCGCUACGAAUCUCAUAAAUUCAAAAGCUGGCUCCAGCUAACGUUUGCGGUUGCGGACGGUUGCGGGAGGGUAAAAUUUUUUUUUUAAAACAAUAUAUAUACAAAAGUAAAAUUAUUUAAUAAAAAAUUUAAAAUUGAGAUUAUGAAAAUAUUAACAUAUAUCUAUUAUAUUUUAAUUAAUAUUAUAAAAUUUUAUAAUAAAAAAAAUUUCAAUAAAUUUUCAAAAAUUAAAAUUAUAACUUUCUAAAUAUAAAUUUUAUAUUUAUUAUAAUUUUAUGAUUUUUGAUAUUUUUAUAAUUAUAUUAAAUGUAAAUAUUGUUAAUUUAUUAUUUGACUGUUACCACAUUUGGUAGUUAACCAGUCAUAAGUCACCCGCAAACGCACCAAUUUUUAACCGCAGUACCAAUCGUACAAAUCUCUUAAAACCGCUAGAAACCGCAACCGUCCGCAUCCACAAACUCCCACAACCGCAACCGCAACCGCUGCGUUUGAACCAAUUAAGCCAAUUAAGACGUUGUCGCGAUUUUUAACAAUUCACGUGGCCCUGG